rnacentral:rRNA from 2 species
UGGGGAAUAUUGCACAAUGGAGGGAACUCUGAUGCAGCGACGCCGCGUGAACGAAGAAGGCUUUCGAGUCGUAAAGUUCUUUUAUAUGGGAAGAUAAUGACGGUACCAUAAGAAAAAGCCCCGGCCAACUACGUGCCAGCAGCCGCGGUAAUACGUAGGGGGCUAGCGUUGUCCGGAAUCACUGGGCGUAAAGGGUUCGCAGGCGGAAAUGCAAGUCAGGUGUAAAAGGCAGUAGCUUAACUACUGUAAGCAUUUGAAACUGCAUAUCUUGAGAAGAGUAGAGGUAAGUGGAAUUUUUAGUGUAGCGGUGAAAUGCGUAGAUAUUAAAAAGAAUACCGGUGGCGAAGGCGACUUACUGGGCUCAUUCUGACGCUGAGGAACGAAAGCGUGGGUAGCAAACAGG